rnacentral:lncRNA from 1 species
CGAUAGAAAUGACAGGUAAUAGUGAGACAAAUGGAAACGACGGCACGGUCGCUGAACCAGCUUCUCUAAGUGUAAGCAUUUCAAAGAAAAGUGAAUAUGAGGAUAUUCGCAAUGUGCAAGAAUCCGAGCAUGAGUAUGGACACAUUUCACCUGCUGCUACAAAUUAAUCCAGUACGUUCAUACGACUGUAUAGAAGCUGUGAUGCAAGAUGUUCUGUGAACAAGAAAAUACUCAUCUACUAUAACCUCCAUUGAACAGCAAGCAGCUGUUUUCCAUUUAACACUCAUCCACAAUGUAGUCUACUGAAGAUCGCAAACAGCUGUUAUUCAGAUAUCACUUAUCUACUAUGUACUCUACUGAGAAGAACAAACAGCUGUUUUUCAGUUGUUGUUUUUUUUAUUCAACACUGUAAUAAAUGAUCUACUGAGUAUUCAGUUAACACUGAUCCACUAUGUACCAUAUUAAGAAGCCAGCAGCUGUUAUGCAGUUAAUACUUAUCAAGUUGAUACAUUCUACUCAGGAGCGACCUGCUGUUUAAUUAUACAGUUAACACUCGGUCUAUAUGUACUCUCUACUGAGUAGCAAGCAGCUGGUUUCAGUGAAACUUAUCCAAUAUGUACUCUUCUGAGGAUGGAUCUAGGAGUUGUGAUACAUGACAUGCUUUUCAUGAGAACACUCGUCCCAUCCGUAGUCUAUUGAGUGCCAAAUAUUUUAUAUAACUGUUUAGUACUUGCGAUUCAUUCAUUUCAGAACAAUUAUAAUGUACAUCACAUUUUUAGAUGAUAUAAAAAAAAGUUUUGUCAAUAUUAUGUAAUGCGUAUUCUGCCUUAUGUGUAAUUAAUUUUGCCGCUAUGUUUAUAUUUUUGUAAAGCAUUCGUUUGCAUUUAUUCACCUUAAACUCAAAUAAGAUUUAAUGGAAAAAUAUUAAAGGACAUGUAAAUACAUUUUAACUGCAAUUAAUAUUUGUCUUUUAUUUCAGCUAUUAUGGGUAUGGCCUUGACUGAGAACUUGAAAUGGCCGGUGUUAAAUUUUGUAAAGAUAAUAUCAAAUUACAUUAUUUCUUUCUUCUUUUUAUUGUGACAUUUGUAAAUGUAAUUAUAAUGCCCUAAAAUGUAAAGAUUUGGGGUUUUGCUGUUGUAUCAAAAUUCGAAGUAUGAGCUGGAGAUCUAAAAUGGUACGUAAAUUAACAAGUAAUGUAAAUGUUUGAAUAUCUAUGUCAGUCUACAUUGACAACUCUGUUAAACUGAACGUACCCCGGAGAUUAAGUAACGUGUGCAAAACCGUACUUCUAUAUAACUUUUUUGUUACGCCUUUGCAGAUCAAAUUUUGUGUAGGUAUCGAAGAUAUAUCUAGUGUAUUUAUUUGUAUUUGUUAUACCGUUUCAUAUUACUUUGUAAUGUUUUCGUGUCAAACUUUGCGUUAAGAUUUGAGACUAUUGAGUGUUUCCAUUAAAAAUCAAGAAAAGAUGGUUGUAUUUUCACCAUUUAUAGAUUGUAACAAUUCGAUCUGCUACUUAUCAGUUUAUAUUAAGGAGGUAGUCUACCAUAAAAUUUGAAUGAGCGCAUGCCACAGCGGAAGCUAAUAUGAGAAUUUACGAGAACAUUUGCGAAAAUCAAAAUGUGUUUGUAUAUUCAUUCUUCUGGAUAAUUACAACGACCUGCCUCAGAUGUGAUGCUAAAUGGUUUAUCAAUGCUGCAUUAAUGAAUAAAUUACUACAGAAUCUCUACAAAAUAUUUCCAGUAACAGCGCAAAAGAAAUAGCUUUUAUCUUGACGGGAGUUCAGCUUUAAAUAAUAAUCAAUAUUUUGUUGCUUUUAUGAACAUACUUUCAUGUCAUGCGAUAAGUAAUAGAAUGGAUGAUGAUGAUGAAUGAUUUUAUUGGAAGCAACGUUUGUUAUAAUGGUUAUUUCCAAAUAAAACCUGGGCAGUGACACUGAAGUCGUCGAAAAUCUCAAUAUCAUGUAUUGUUUAUUGGUAGCGGUUAUAUUACCUUAUAAUAAUUUUCAGUGUAAAAAUCAGAGCUGUGAGCUAUGUUUUCAAUUUAUUCUCGCCUCUACCAGAACUACCAACUUUACUGUUGAUUUGUCCCAACCAACCUUAAAUGAUCUGAUGCAUUGAUAAUUUCUCUUCUUACUGAAAAAUAUGUUUAGAUAUACUAACACAAAUGUUACAAUAAAACAAAGAUCAAAUAAGAUAACACCAGCCCAGAGUGCAACUUGUAUGUUCAGUCUUGACAAAUUUACAUUUGAUAAGUUGGACUAAUGCAUACCCACAGAUUUCCAUUGCCGGACUUAAAUAGGGAGCCAUCCAUUUCUCCAUUGACAGCUGCAUUUGGAGUAUAUUUGCUAACACCCAAAUAAAACCUCAUUGCUUUGUUGAACACAGUACAUAUAUAAGAAAAUGACCUCGCAACGAAGAUUGGCAGGUCAUAAUUGAUAUCGGACCAGGCAGCAGAGACAUGCAAUUUCGUAUAUCCAUCGCAAUAUAUAUAAACACUGAAAACGAUACCCAGAGAAAUCAGAAAACAAUGGAGUAUGUAGCGUUAUUAUUUCCUAAAAUCUAACGUUUAUAUAUAUGAUAAAGGCAUUUGUUAUUGUCCGGAAGAUAGAUUAUUUUUAUUUUUGUUGAUUUCGUGUUUUUCUAUCAAAC